GGCACAACUUGCCUUCAAUGAGCUCCUCCUCAGCAACUUCUACCUGCUGAACACCUGGAUCCUCAAUCACUUGCUCGUCUACUCGCCACAAUACACACAAACAUGGUACAAGGGAAAUUAAUGAUCACACCAAACAGAGGAAUAUACUGCAUGAUAAUGUUCUACGCAUCGCAACGAGAUCGUAGGAACAAGAAUCACUAAAUUCGGAGUUACGGAUUUCAAGUUAUGAUUUCCUGAAGGUUUUAUGUGUAUGGUACAAAAAUAAUUAAGUGAGUAAUUUUAAUCUAGGUUUCAUGCUAAAACAGAGUUACUAAGUGAUAAACAAUAUUAAUACAAAAUUAAUGCAACUAGAACAGGUUAAAAAGGAGUUAAAAUGAAUUUUAUAAGAAUUAAAAAGUUCAUGGAAUUGAUUUUGCGCUAAAAAUCAUUUUCUAAAUUAAUUUCUCUAUUUUACUAAAUCUCUGGACUGCGCGCACGAAUAACAGGAAGUUCAGGGUCACUUCUGCAAAGUUUCGGGCCUCACUGUAAUUACUUUAUAAAUGGUUUGGACAACGGGUUGUUUUCUACGAAUUCUAGGGGCUCUUAUGCAAGACUGACGCAUCCGAAGGGGUGUGAUCUAAUCUUGACCGUCCGAUUAAAUACUAGUGGCUCAGAUUAGAUCUAGGUUUCCACGAAGCGGUAUGCGAUGUGGAGUCUCGGAUCCAGAUCCAACGGCUAGGGUUUUAUGAGGCGUGAUCAGCGGUCGACCCUUGGAUUCAAUCGCAAUGGUUCGCGUGUCACGAUCCCGAAGGGUUAUUUCCUAUCUAAUCGGGGUCGUUCGGUGGGGAAUCGACGGUCAGAAGAUCAUCUCCCUCCGACGCUGACCACGCACGGCGGCGUGUCCAGCCGUGGUGGUGUACUCUGGCAAACAUCAGGGUUGCGGCUCUAGAGCUCCUACAGCUAAAUGGUGUGCAUCUACAUGAUCUCCAGAGAAUGGUAAACGCGAUGGGGGUAGGUCAUACCACUGAUUAUGCCACGAAGAUCCCUGUCCACGGUAGAAGGCGGACGACGGCGGCGCCCCCGCUCUGACGAGCAAUUCCGAGUACACCAGACCGCCCCCGGCAUGGGCGAACCACGAGCGCGCUUCUACAAUCCUCUGUUGGCCACCCGCGUGAGUUUCCCGAGACUCAAUCGCAUGUUCACCAGAGAUGGCGCAUGACGGCGGCACUCCUCACCUCGACCUCUCUGGCGCAGGGGUUUUCUG
rnacentral:lncRNA from 1 species